rnacentral:tRNA from 1 species
GCACGCAUAGCUCAGCGGCAGAGCGUUCGAUUCACAUUCGAAAGGUCCCAGGUUCAAAUCCCGGUGCGUGCA